GUUCUGUCUCUGUUAAAAAGAAAAUAUAUUUAAUCAAAAUGACUCACUGUUCGCAUAAAUACAAGAACACAUGUUGAUAAGACGAUAUUUUCACGUGUAAUGGAUGUAUCUUGAUGCGCUCAGUUCAAGUUUUGUACAUUUUAUUUGACGUGUAAAGAUUUAAAGAGCCAGUGUGUGUGAAGAUUUACUAAGAGUAUUUAUAGGCCCAUGUCUGUCACAGGAGUAAAGCUGACAGAGGUGGGACCAAGUCGUUGUUUUGCACAGUCUCAGUUAAGUCUCAAGUCUGUGACCUCAAGUCCGAGUCAAGUCCCAAGUCAAAGACAAGGCAA